GUAAGUCGGGGCCUAAGCCGAGGACGGAAGUCGUAGGCGAUGGACAGCAGGUGUAGAUUCCUGCACUACCGAUGGAAUGAAGCAGUGACACAGAAGGAUAACUCGAGCAGGGUGAUGGUCAACCCUGUGCAAGCAUCAAGGUUGGGUUGUAGUGAAGUACGCAAUCCUAUAAGCUGAGAUGUGAUGCGGACCGAAAUUUCAGUAGGGAAGCGAGUGAGUUCACGCUGGCGAGAAAAGCUGCUAGUACAUCCAAAGGUACCCGUACCGGAAACCGACGCAGGUGGGCGAGGAGAGAAUCCUGAGACGAACGGGAGAACCCUUGUUAAGGAACUCGGCAAAAUGACCCCGUAACUUCGGGAUAAGGGGUGCCUGCGAGAGCAGGCCGCAGAGAAUAGUCACAAGCGACUGUUUAGCAAAAACACAGGUAUCUGCGAAAGCGAGAGCUGACGUAUAGGUGCUGACACCUGCCCGGUGCUGGAAGGUUAAGGGAACAUGUUAGAGCAAUCGAAGCAUCGAACCGAAGCCCCAGUAAACGGCGGCCGUAACUAUAACGGUCCUAAGGUAGCGAAAUUCCUUGUCGGGUAAGUUCCGACCCGCACGAAUGGUGUAACGACUUGUGAGCUGUCUCAACAGGGGGCCCGGUGAAAUUGAAGUAUGGGUGAAGAUGCCCAUUACCCGCGACUGGACGGAAAGACCCCGUAGAGCUUUACUGCAGCCUGAUAUUGAGUUUCGGUAACUGAUGCACAGGAUAGGUGGGAGUCUGAGAGACAUGGGUUUCGGCUCAUGAGGAGACGAUGUUGGGAUACCACUCUUCGGUUACUGAAAUUCUAACAUAGCUCUGUGAAACCAGAGGAUGGACAGUGUCAGGUGGACAGUUUGACUGGGGCGGUCGCCUCCGAAAGAGUAACGGAGGCGCCCAAAGGUACCCUCAGAAUGGAUGGAAACCAUUCGAAGAGCGCAAAGGCAGAAGGGUGCCUGACUGCGAGAGUGACAACUCGAGCAGAGACGAAAGUCGGGCUUAGUGAUCCGGCGGUAUUGAGUGGAAAAGCCGUCGCUUAACGGAUAAAAGCUACCUCGGGGAUAACAGGCUGAUCUCCCCCAAGAGUCCACAUCGACGGGGAGGUUUGGCACCUCGAUGUCGGCUCGUCGCAUCCUGGGGCUGAAGCAGGUCCCAAGGGUUUGGCUGUUCGCCAAUUAAAGCGGCACGCGAGCUGGGUUCAGAACGUCGUGAGACAGUUCGGUCCCUAUCCAUCGUGGGCGUAGGAGUCAUGAGAGGAGCUGUUCCUAGUACGAGAGGACCGGAAUGGACGCACCACUGGUGCAACUGUUGUCGUGCCAACGGCAUAGCAGGGAAGCGAAGUGCGGAUGGGAUAAACGCUGAAGGCAUCUAAGCGUGAAGCCCACCUCAAGAAUAAGUGUCCCAUUCGAAAGAAGUAAGACCCCUGGAAGACUACCAGGUGAUAGGUCAUCGGUGAAAGAGCGGUAACGUUUGGAGCUUGAUGAUACUAAUCGGUCGAGGACUUGAUCU
rnacentral:rRNA from 1 species